rnacentral:rRNA from 1 species
GACGAACGCUGGCGGCGUGCCUAAUACAUGCAAGUCGAACGCAGUGGGGACGGGUGAGUAACACGUGGGUAACCUCCCAUCAGAGGGGAUAACACUUGGAAACAGGUGCUAAACCGAUACUGAUGGAUGGACCCGCGGUGGAUUAGCUAGUUGGGGGGGUAACGGCUCACCAAGGCCACGAUGCAUCGCGGACCUGAGAGAGUGAUCGGCCACACUGGGACUGAGACACGGCCCAGACUCCGACGGGAGGCAGCAGUAGGGAAUAUUCGGCAAUGGACGAAAGUCUGACCGAGCAACGCCGCGUGAGUGAAGAAGGUUUUCGGAUCGUAAAACUCUGUUGGUGGAGAAGCGGUAUCUAACCAGAAAGCCACGGCUAACUACGUGCCAGCCGCCGCGGUAAUAC